GAUGAACGCUGGCGGCGUGCCUAAUACAUGCAAGUCGAGCGAACGGACGAGAAGCUUGCUUCUCUGAUGUUAGCGGCGGACGGGUGAGUAACACGUGGAUAACCUACCUAUAAGACUGGGAUAACUUCGGGAAACCGUAGCUAAUACCGGAUAAUAUUUUGAACCGCAUGGUUCAAAAGUGAAAGACGGUCUUGCUGUCACUUAUAGAUGGAUCCGCGCUGCAUUAGCUAGUUGGUAAGGUAACGGCUUACCAAGGCAACGAUGCAUAGCCGACCUGAGAGGGUGAACGGCCACACUGGAACUGAGACACGGUACAGACACCUGCGGGAGGAAGCAGUAGGGAAUCUUCCGCAAUGGGCGAAAGCCUGACGGAGCAACGCCGCGUGAGGGAUGAAGGUCUUCGGAUCGUAAAACUCCGUUAUUAGGGAAGAACAUAUGUGUAAGUACCUGUGCACAUCUUGACGGUACCUAAUCAGAAAGCCACGGCUAACUACGUG
rnacentral:rRNA from 1 species